rnacentral:lncRNA from 1 species
AUCCGGGCUUAAGGAUAAUGUUGCAAGCCACACACAUGUCCGGCCUCUAGGAGUCAUCCACACGAGCCCACGAAUCUCGAUCAGAAGUCCUGCUUCAGGAAAUCAGCACAGUAUGCUAGUACUGCGCUGAUCCUUCUUUGAUGGUUGAUCAGGUGCCUCCUUCUUCUUGAUUUGGACUCUUCCAAAGAUGGAAAGUAAAAGGAGGAGUUUCAAAUCUGAGACACUCUCAGGAAACUCAAGAUGGAGGGAGGAAA